UUGGCAGUGCAUUGCUAGCUGGC
rnacentral:miRNA from 1 species